CUUGGUCAUUUAGAGGAAGUAAAAGUCGUAACAAGGUUUUGCUAAGCAACAGUCCUUCUGUAGCAGAGCUUAACGGAGACCUUGCACCCGAGAGGGGGGAGGCGACUAUAAACAAGUCCCAGUGCAAGUCAGCGCCGCUGGCAACACAAUCGAAUUGCGGGGACGCUUUAAAGCUCAGUGGUACCAACCCUCCGGAUGCCGGAGGGGGCGGGCAAUGCCCGAGGUCAGAACCCACCGAGAUGUACAAUAAGCAAUCCGCAGCGGUCCGUUUGGACCGUCCACAGACUAAGUGGUUGUGGGGAGCCCCAGCUCCUUAAGAUAUAGUCGGGCCCGGUGAGCAGUCACCGGGGGUUCUGCGUCCGUAGGUGAACCUGCGGAAGGAUCAUUACAAGUGAGGCUACCGAACGUUGGAAACAGCGGUUAGGAGCUUACACCCACCCGUGUUUACAUACUAUUGUUGCUUUGGCGGGCCGUGGCCUCCACUGCGGGCUCUGCUCGUGUGUGCCCGCCAGAGAACCAAACUCUGAAUGUUAGUGAUGUCCGAGUACUAUCUAAUAGUUAAAACUUUCAACAACGGAUCCCUUGGUUCUGGCAUCGAUGAAGAACGCAGCGAAAUGCGAUAAGUAAUGUGAAUUGCAGAAUUCAGUGAAUCAUCGAAUCUUUGAACGCACAUUGCGCCCUGUGGUAUUCCGCAGGGCAUGCCUGUUCGAGCGUCAUUUAACCACUCACGCCUAGCGUGGUAUUGGGGCACGCGGUCUCCGCGGCCCUCAAAACUAGUGGCGGCGCCGGUGGGCUCUAAGCGUAGUACAUACUCCCGCUAUAGAGUUCCCCCCGGUGGCUCGCCAGAACCCCCCAAUUUUUACAGGUUGACCUCGGAUCAGGUAGGGAUACCCGCUGAACUUAAGCAUAUCAAUAAGCGGAGGAAAAGAAACCAACAGGGAUUACCUCAGUAACGGCGAGUGAAGCGGUAACAGCUCAAAUUUGAAAGCUGCCAACAGGCCGCGUUGUAAUUUGUAGAAGCUGCUUUGGGUGUCGGCCCGGUCUAAGUUCCUUGGAACAGGACGUCAUAGAGGGUGAGAAUCCCGUAUGUGAUCGGUGCCGUUGCCCGUGUAAAGCGCUUUCGACGAGUCGAGUUGUUUGGGAAUGCAGCUCAAAAUGGGUGGUAAAUUUCAUCUAAAGCUAAAUAUUGGCCAGAGACCGAUAGCGCACAAGUAGAGUGAUCGAAAGAUGAAAAGCACUUUGGAAAGAGAGUUAAACAGUACGUGAAAUUGUUGAAAGGGAAGCGCUUGCAACCAGACUUGCGGGCGGUCGAUCAUCCGAGGUUCUCCCCGGUGCACUCGAUCGUUCUCAGGCCAGCAUCGGUUUCCGGGGUGGGAUAAAGGCGGUGGGAAUGUGGCUCUUCGGAGUGUUAUAGCCCACCGUGCAAUGCCGCCACUGGGGACCGAGGACCGCGCUUCGGCUAGGAUGCUGGCGUAAUGGUUGUAAGCGACCCGUCUUGAAACACGGACC
rnacentral:rRNA from 1 species